rnacentral:rRNA from 1 species
AGCGAACGUUUGCGGCGGGCUUAACACAUGCAAGUCGAACGAGAAUCCCUUCGGGGAGGAAAGUGGCGCACGGGUGCGUAACACGUGGAUAACCAACCCAUUGGUUUGGGACAACACCGGGAAACUGGUGCUAAUACCAGAUGUGUCGCAGCUGUCUUCAGGCGGUUGCGAGAAAGGCCCGCAAGGGUCGCCAACGGACGGGUCCGCGUCCCAUCAGCUAGUUGGUGAGGUAAUGGCUCACCAAGGCAAAGACGGGUAGCUGGUCUGAGAGGAUGAUCAGCCACACUGGAACUGAGACACGGUCCAGACUCCUACGGGAGGCAGCAGUGGGGAAUAUUGCGCAAUGGGCGAAAGCCUGGCGCAGCCACGCCGCGUGAGCGAUGAAGGUCUUCGGAUCGUAAAGCUCUGUGGGGGGAGAAGAAGAAAGCCGGUGAGGAGCCGGCCCUGACGGUAUCCCCUUAGCAAGCACCGGCUAACUCCGUGCCAGCAGCCGCGGUAAAGU